CUCCGAACUGUUGAGUUCAGUUCAGGGCAGCUUCCCUGUUCUGUUCAUUAAACUUUGGGAUAUUUAAAUUGGCUAAAAGGAAAUGAUUGAAUACAGAGUAUUGCUCCACAUACUUCCUAGUGCACACCA
ensembl:snoRNA Gm23613 small nucleolar RNA SNORA36 family